UACGUAGGGGGCUAGCGUUGUCCGGAAUCAUUGGGCGUAAAGAGCGUGUAGGCGGCCCGGUAAGUCCGCUGUGAAAGUCGGGGGCUCAACCCUCGAAUGCCGGUGGAUACUGUCGGGCUAGAGUGCGGAAGAGGCGAGUGGAAUUCCUGGUGUAGCGGUGAAAUGCGCAGAUAUCAGGAGGAACACCAAUUGCGAAGGCAGCUCGCUGGGACGUAACUGACGCUCAGGCACGAAAGCGUGGGGAGCAAACAGG
rnacentral:rRNA from 1 species